AGUGAACGCUGGCGGUAGGCCUAACACAUGCAAGUCGAACGGCAGCACAGUAAGAGCUUGCUCUUACGGGUGGCGAGUGGCGGACGGGUGAGGAAUACAUCGGAAUCUACUUUUUCGUGGGGGAUAACGUAGGGAAACUUACGCUAAUACCGCAUACGACCUACGGGUGAAAGCAGGGGAUCUUCGGACCUUGCGCGAUUGAAUGAGCCGAUGUCGGAUUAGCUAGUUGGCGGGGUAAAGGCCCACCAAGGCGACGAUCCGUAGCUGGUCUGAGAGGAUGAUCAGCCACACUGGAACUGAGACACGGUCCAGACUCCUACGGGAGGCAGCAGUGGGGAAUUUUGGACAAUGGGCGCAAGCCUGAUCCAGCCAUGCCGCGUGGGUGAAGAAGGCCUUCGGGUUGUAAAGCCCUUUUGUUGGGAAAGAAAAGCAGCAGGUUAAUACCCCGCUGUUCUGACGGUACCCGAAGAAUAAGCACCGGCUAACUUCGUG
rnacentral:rRNA from 1 species